AUCACCAAGAAGCUGGCUGGGACAGCGAGGGGAACGGGACUCUGGCUUACCUCUGUUGGCAACGAGUUUGGUCAGGUGAUCAUAAGUGUGCUGACAGCCCAGGAAGGAGCAGGACUGGAAAUGAUGGUAGACGGUCUGGUAAAAAGAUACCAGCAGGCUGGUGUGAAUCCACCUGCUGUGUUGUACGUGGACUGUGGGUGCUGCACAGAGGUGGGCGAGACCAAGCUGAAAACCAGAUUCAGAGGCUGGCCAGAUCUCAUGAUACGCUUGGACAUCUGGCAUUUUAUGCGCAGGAUUGCCUUGGGGUGUACAACUGAUGCCCAUCAGCUGUACCCCAUCUUCAUGUCACGGCUAUCAUCAUGCAUCUUUGAAUGGGAUGCGGCUGAUAUUUCUAUGCUUCGCAAAGCACAGAGAGAGUUGUUGAUGUCCCAGGGUUGGCCUGCGCUGACAGAUGAAUUGCCGGAGGAGGACACGUGGAGAGGAGACUACCAUCCUUCUCCUUGAACGACUGCUUACAGAGCUCCUGAGCAGCAAGGGAAAUGACUCCCUGGGUGUUCCUCUCCUGGACCGAGAAAGGAUGGAGAAAAUCUGGAGUGUCCAGAAGAAGCACGUCGAGUGUAUCCAAGACCCCCCAGGUGUUGCCCUCUAUACAGAGAACUGUUUGUCAAUUUACAGGGACCAGUGCAAACAGUCUGAACUUUCAGAUUUUUUUGCUGGAGGGUCUACACAGGUGGAACCAGGAUCGGGAGGCUGCUUCCCUGUCAUCGGAGCCAUCAGCUUUACGCAGCUACACAGGAGAACUUGUUCACUGUGUAAACAGCAAUUAUGAAAAGCUGUUUGGCAGGAAAGUGGUCCCCACGUUUUGCCCCCCUGCACGUUACACCGGUGAGCUCAUUGGAGUGCAGUAUCUGUUCCAACAGACUGGUCAGGCACUGCAGGACAUGAACCCAGACUCUGAAGAGACAGCAGAACUCAUCGAGGACCUUAAUGUGGAGGAGCGAGAUGAAGAUGAGGGCUUCUGUGACAUCAGCGAGGAUCACACCAUAGCAGAUCCAGAGGCUGUUCUGUCACCACACUUCUCCACACUGACAAUGUGGUCUUCCACCCUGGUCACCAGCAGUGACACGGCUGUACUGGGUUCCACAUCCCCUUCACUGGUCCCUGAUCUUACACCAUCUCCUUCAUCACCUGGAUCAUCAGGGACUGCUGUCCCACCUGUUCCCUCUGGAACAUCUGUUUCACCACUCUCCUCAGAGUCAGAGGAUGCUGAUCAGGAUGAUGAUGAUGAAGAGACUGCGGUUGACUACCAAAAUGGUAAAUGUCCCGGGAUAUCAACAUGUGGACAAGCUGGCAGAAUAUUUGGUGGAGCUCCGGGGUCACACAGCCCUCAGCCUGACCAAUCAGGAAGCCAACACCAUAAUUGCACUUUGGCAGAACCUGGAUGACCAGGAUAAGCAACGGGUGGUGUAUGCAGCUCGACACCAGAAGAGACUGCUGAGUGGAUGCUUCAAAGUACCAAAGAGGCCCACUCAAACCCCUGGAGUAGAGAGCACCACCAGAAGUGUGCUGGGUGCAAGCAGUGCACCUGCUCAGUGGCCUGACUGUUGCCGUCUGGUGGAGACCAUCUUCAUCAGGCUUUGCACUAUUCACCCUAGCCCCAAAAGAAAAGGCAAGGGAAUGCUGUCGAGAUGGUCUCUAAUCCUCCAAGACUACAGGAUAAGGCAGCUUGUACUGGGCAACAGCUUGGUGAUGGGGGAACCUCAAUGCAGCUGGUGGAGGUUAACCAGAACACCCUGAUUCAGUGGUUUAACAACAGACAGAAAAAGCAGGAGCUGUCUGUGCUGCUUCAGAGCAUUCAGUUGCCUCAGCUCCUCUCUGAAGCUCAGGAACCUCUCCAGGCUGCCAAACGCCUACGGACUGAGCCAGAACAACCAGGGGAGCAGCACCAGUACAAGCUACCAGAGAGCACAGCAGGUCAGGCAAAGCAGAGGCAGACUUCUUCUGGACGACCCCCUCUCAGACCCAAGGCACCUGCACAGAGUCCUAUGUUGGUUACGCCAUCAGCACCUCGAGCAUCAGUGCAGAUGGUACCCAACAUACUUAUACCAGCAGCACCAGGUUUCCAAGGUGUGCCGAUGCUUCAGGGUGUGCCAGUGUUCCAGGGUCUGCAAAUGGUUCAAAGGCUGCCAAUGAUUGGUGUUCAGGGAAUCCUGAUGGUCCAGGGAAUGCCAGUGGUUCAGGGGAUGCCACUGUUAAAGCCAAAAGUUGUGGAGGGCACCAGUUCACAACCAGCUGCCAAUCCGCAAACCAUGCCCAAGAGACCCUACAAGAGAACUGUAGAGGCAAACACUUGCAAGAAGUGCGGACAAUUCAAAACCAGUGUAACGGGACAUAGCCAGUACAGGGGCAAGGUGUACUGCCCACGGACUGAGACCGUUACAAAAGAACAGUGGUUAGAGGAAAUGUGGAGAACUAUUCCCAAAUAAUAUAUUUUUAUUUAUUGUAGUGUGUGUAUAUAGUUGUUUAAAUAUAGUUUACUAUUGUUAAUAUUUGUGUUGAACAUUAUUUAACGCUUUAUUUAAACAUCAUUUAAUAUUUUAUUUAACUUUAUUUACUGUUUUUUAAUCCUAUUUAACUUUUUAACUUACUUGUUUUUGAAAACUUUAUUUACUGUUUUAUUUACCUUUUUAAUUUGUUGUUUGAAAUUUUAUUUAAUUUAAUAUCAUUACUGUUCUGUUAGCAUAAUUGUAAAAUAAACAAAUUAUUGCUUCUACA
ensembl:lncRNA